AGCUUUGCACAGUUGCUGUAUCAUAGUCAAUGAAGUUUAUCUGAAGUGCAAUUAUUGCUAAUUGAAAGCUUUUCCCAAUAAUUUCAAUAAGACACCAGGUUGAGUUUGGGAUAUUUGUGCAAAGAGGCCAUCGGUAAGCCUU
rnacentral:snRNA from 1 species